CUCGGGUGAUCCUGCCGGACCCGACUGCUAUCAGAGUGAGAUUAAGCCAUGCGAGUUAACGUAGCAAUACGUGGCGCACGGCUCAGUAACACGUAGUCAACAUGCCCAGAGGACGUGGAUAACCUCGGGAAACUGAGUCUAAACCGCGAUAAGUGAGGAUUUCUGGAAUGGUUCCUGACUAAAAUCUAUAUGGCCUCUGGAUUGGACUGCGGCCGAUCAGGCUGUUGGUGAGGUAAUGGCCCACCAAACCUGUAACCGGUACGGGCUCUGAGAGGAGGAGCCCGGAGAUGGGCACUGAGACAAGGGCCCAGGCCCUAUGGGGCGCAGCAGGCGCGAAACCUCUGCAAUAGGCGAAAGCUUGACAGGGUUACUCUGAGUGAUUUCCGUUAAGGAGAUCUUUUGGCACCUCUAAAAAUGGUGCAGAAUAAGGGGUGGGCAAGUCUGGUGUCAGCCGCCGCGGUAAUACCAGCACCCCGAGUGGUCGGGACGUUUAUUGGGCCUAAAGCAUCCGUAGCCGGUUCUACAAGUCUUCCGUUAAAUCCACCUGCUUAACAGAUGGGCUGCGGAAGAUACUAUAGAGCUAGGAGGCGGGAGAGGCAAGCGGUACUCGAUGGGUAGGGGUAAAAUCCGUUGAUCCAUUGAAGACCACCAGUGGCGAAGGCGGCUUGCCAGAACGCGCUCGACGGUGAGGGAUGAAAGCUGGGGGAGCAAACCGGAUUAGAUACCCGGGUAGUCCCAGCUGUAAACGAUGCAGACUCGGUGAUGAGUUGGCUUCUUGCCAACUCAGUGCCGCAGGGAAGCCGUUAAGUUUGCCGCCUGGGGAGUACGGUCGCAAGACUGAAACUUAAAGGAAUUGGCGGGGGAGCA
rnacentral:rRNA from 1 species